rnacentral:rRNA from 1 species
CGGAGGGGGCUAGCGUUGUUCGGAAUUACUGGGCGUAAAGCGUACGGAGGCGGCUUUGUAAGUUAGAGGUGAAAGCCCGGGGCUCAACUCCGGAAUUGCCUUUAAGACUGCAUCGCUUGAAUCCAGGAGAGGUGAGUGGAAUUCCGAGUGUAGAGGUGAAAUUCGUAGAUAUUCGGAAGAACACCAGUGGCGAAGGCGGCUCACUGGACUGGUAUUGACGCUGAGGUGCGAAAGCGUGGGGAGCAAACAGG